rnacentral:rRNA from 1 species
GCAUAUCAAUAAGCGGAGGAAAAGAAACCAACAGGGAUUGCCUCAGUUAACGGCGAAGUGAAGCGGCAAGAAGCUCAAAUUUGAAAGCUGGCUCCUUCGGGGUCCGCAUUGUAAUUUGCAGAGGAUGCUUCGGGAGCGGUCCCCAUCUAAGUGCCCUGGAACGGGCCGUCAUAGAGGGUGAGAAUCCCGUAUGGGAUGGGGUGCCCGCGACCAUGUGAAGCUCCUUCGACGAGUCGAGUUGUUUGGGAAUGCAGCUCUAAAUGGGUGGUAAAUUUCAUCUAAAGCUAAAUAUUGGCCGGAGACCGAUAGCGCACAAGUAGAGUGAUCGAAAGAUGAAAAGCACUUUGAAAAGAGAGUUAAAAAGCACGUGAAAUUGUUGAAAGGGAAGCGCUUGCGACCAGACUCGCCCGCGGGGUUCAGCCGGUAUUCGUACCGGUGUACUUCCCCGUGGGCGGGCCAGCGUCGGUUUGGGCGGCCGGUCAAAGGCCCUCGGAAUGUAACGCCUCUCGGGGCGUCUUAUAGCCGAGGGUGCCAUGCGGCCAGCCCGGACCGAGGAACGCGCUUCGGCACGGACGCUGGCAUAAUGGUCGUAAGCGACCCGUCUUGAAACACGGACCAAGGAGUCUAACAUCUACGCGAGUGUUCGGGUGUCAAACCCGUGCGCGCAGUGAAAGCGAACGGAGGUGGGAACCCUUUGGGUGCACCAUCGACCGAUCCUGAUGUCUUCGGAUGGAUUUGAGUAAGAGCGUAGCUGUUGGGACCCGAAAGAUGGUGAACUAUGCCUGAAUAGGGCGAAGCCAGAGGAAACUCUGGUGGAGGCUCGCAGCGGUUCUGACGUGCAAAUCGAUCGUCAAAUUUGGGUAUAGGGGCGAAAGACUAAUCGAACCAUCUAGUAGCUGGUUCUGCA